GGGAUAUUGGGCAAUGGGGGCAACCCUGACCCAGCCAUGCCGCGUGAGGGAAUGAGGCCCCAGUGGUCGUGAACCUCUUUUGCGCGGGGACAAGGACGCGGUCGUGAACCGUGUUUGAGGGUACCGCGCGAAUAAGCAUCGGCUAACUCCGUGCCAGCAGCCGCGGUAAUACGGAGGAUGCGAGCGUUAUCCGGAUUCAUUGGGUUUAAAGGGUGCGCAGGCGGCCCGUGCAAGUCGGCGGUGAAAUCCCGGGGCCCAACCCCGGAAGUGCCGUCGAUACUGUCGGGCUGGAAUGCGGUCGAGGCGGGCGGAACGUGGCGUGUAGCGGUGAAAUGCGUAGAUAUGCCACAGAACGCCGAUAGCGGAGGCAGCUCGCCAGGCCUGCAUUGACGCUCGGGCACGAAAGCGUGGGGAUCGAACA
rnacentral:rRNA from 1 species